AUUUUUUUUAAUUGUAGAAGAAAUAUUUAUUAUUUUAAUAAAAAUAAAAUAGAAAUUUAAAUUAAGUUUGGCUAAACUUGUGCCAGCCGCCGCGGUUAUACAAGUGAAUUAGUUUUUUGUUUAAUUAUUUUUAAUAAAAAAAUUAGUUUUAUUGUAGAAGAUUAUUAAGGUGAAAUUUAUAAUUUUUUUUGUAAUUAUUUUGAUUUUAAAUAAAUUUUAAUUAUAAACUAGGAUUAGAUACCCUAUUAUUUAAAGCUUAAUGUUGGUAGUAAAUAUUAAUUAUGAAAUCAUAAGAUUUUGGCGGUAUUUUAAGCUUUUUAGAGGAAUUUGCUCUAUCAUGGAUAAAACGCCUGGAUCUUACUUAAUUUUGUUAAAUCAGUUUGUAUACCACUAUAUUUAAUUAUAUUAAAUGAUUAUAUUUAAGAUUUUUUUUAUAAAAAUUAUAUUAAGUCAAGGUGCAGCAUAAAAUUAUGUAUGAAGUGAAUUACAUUGAUUUUUAUUAAUAUUAAAUGAAAAAUUAUUUAGGAUUUAAAAGUAAAAUGCUAAUAUAAUGAGUAUUUGAAUUAAGCUCUAGAAUAUGCACAUAUCGCCCGUCGCUCUCAAUUUUGAGAUAAGUCGUAACAAAGUAAAAGUACUGGAAAGUGUUUUU
rnacentral:rRNA from 1 species